rnacentral:misc_RNA from 1 species
GAUAAACAUGAAUCAAGCGAUCAUUAGGAGCAAGGUUUUUCUCCUCGUCUAGAAUCUGAGGCAACAAGGUAAUAUUUCAGAAGUCACAAGCAGGCAUAGGAGGAAAUAAAUAAAUAGAUAAAAGAUGGAGAAAAUUAGGUUAAUAAUGAGAAUAAAAAAGUACUUCAAAAAAUUAUUUGCAAAUCCAUCCCAUAGGUGUCCCAUGUCUGCCUUGCCAAUCUCUCUUCCUAGUUCCCAGCAAUUGGAAGGAUGUUUCAACAAAAUUUAAAGAAAGUGAGGUGUAUUCUAUGCAAUUUAUGAGGGGGAAAAAAAAGCAGCACUAGCUAUCAAACUAUGUUCAGACACUCAAUAGGAGAACUCUUAAAAAGUCUUAAAAAGAAUGAACAAGGGAUGAACCGAAAAAAAAAGGAACACCUUUCCAUGAUUAUCUGAAACUCAAGCAGUUUAAUAUUAGAAUGUUAUCC